AUGCUGGAUUUCGUCUCCUGCCUCGCCGUAUCCAUCUGCUGUGGAUCAAACACGCAGAAAGGGGCCAAGAAGCUCAAUGUUCCACGUAAUGGAAGCAUGAGUUUCCCCAACCGCUGGACAAAGCACUUGCAGCGCUGGUUUCCUCAGCCCGCUUCACGCUUGCCUGAGCCUGAACACAUGACAAGUUACUAUUGUUUUCUCAGCCUGGAAUCAUUGCACGCUUCUCUUCUUUUCUGUCGGAGGACCAUGUGAGGCUCUUGAAUAAUCUCUGUUUCAGGGGCUUUUCUUUGCAUUAGUUUCUCUCCGAUUAGAUCAGUUUAUUCACUGAGGUCACUUGACAGAGACAGAUAGCUUGCAGACUCUACAACUGAAUAACAAAACACACACAAAAAAAAAAAAAACGCUCUGCAAUGCUGAAUGCAACAAUUUUGCUCCUACUUUCCUACCCCACUAAUCCCAAACUGUGCUUCAAAGCAGCUGUUGUGCGUCUGCUCGGCUGGUACCAGCUGUACAUGUUCCCCUCCCUGAUUGAAACCAGUGCUUUACUGCCCGCAUGUGAACCCACUUAGAAGGCCAGAGGUCAGUUUGAGGGGAAAUGUGUUCGGCAUUUUCCAAAAGGCCCUUAGCUGUGCCUACCACGAUGCUUUAGAAAGGUCACAAACACAAUUUUUCUUCUUUUUUUUUUGAGGGGGGGGGGGGCGAAGCAAGACACGGUCGCACUCAAGCAAAUGUAUGUAAGAACAGCUCUCCAGAAUAUCUCCCAGCCUCCCAUGACUCAUGCAAUAUGAAUGCAUAUCUGAUGUACUGUCCAAGAUAGUGAUCAGUGACUGGGGAGGUUUUAAGACGCUGUAUAUCUGAGUCAUAAAGAUGCCUCUGGAAUAUAAUAUGCUGAUGAAACUCAUGUGUGUAUGGGUGUUUUAAUGUAUAAGGUAAAACAUGUGGGUGUUCAGAUCAAAGGAUGCUGACUUGCAUUGUUGGAUAGCCUACAGUGUCUAUUUGCAUUUAUAAUACCUGGGAGGUUGACUAAGACCCAUUUAAAAGAGUGUUUUGGUCACGUGUCCAUCUGCACAUAUGCAUGGCAUAAAUCCUACAAAUCCCAGGCUACCCACAGAGUCGGUGCCCUUUGAAAGGUCUCGGUCAUAACCCUGUCGUGCUUUAUCCCUGUAAUGGUCUCACCCUGAGAGAGACGAGACGGCCACAUUCCGCUCAUUCCUGGUCGUUAAAAGUAAGACCGGUUGAAGCUUGGUAGGGGCCAGCUUCCCUAAAUUCAGAGAGUUGUCAUGGGAAGGUUGGAAAUGAAAGGCAAGAGUGGAGUCAAAAGGUCCCCCCCCCCACACACACAUUUCACCAAAAAUGUAGCAGCUAAUGUAAAGCGAGCAAUAAAAAAACAAGCUUUAUUUUCCAUAGCCAAGCUUUUAUCACAGCCUCUUUUAUCUUCUCUCUGCUUUAUAUCUUGAGUAAACCACAGUAAAAUAUGACAAAAUAUUCCAAAUAACGCCCACACAUUCACUUCUUGUGAGCACAAAACCAUAAAGGCCU
rnacentral:lncRNA from 15 species